GAGUCAAUUUAAAGCUCAGAUUUGAAAUGACAAGGACAAAAAUUUGGCACUCUAUCUAUACAUUUCACUGUAUUAAUAUAACCCACUGUUUUGAAACCCGGACCGUACGAGACCGGCUGGUUCGACUGGGAACCGGAUACAACUCCGGUCCAGUUCAAUGCUAAACCCGCUAAUGCACUAAGACCCGUUUUGAACCGCGGUCGGACUGGCGGAAUAGUAUCAAACUGCCGGUCUGUGACCCAAACCAGGUCACUAAUUAUUGGUGGGACUAUUCUACUUUACUUCUAGACUUCCAGACUUCCAUUACUCCUCACUUCUUUCUCUUUUGAAGCAAAAGAUGAAGAACCCUAUACUGACACAAAAGAUGAAGAGCCCACAUUUUUCUCUCUCCUGUAAAGACCUUUCAUUUUUUUUUUUUUAAUCUUCAAGACUGUUCCUUGUCCCUUGAUUUGCUCUCCCUUGCUCACAAAGAAACCCACAAACCCAUUUCAAGAGUGGGUUUUUUAAGCUUCAUUUGUGAGCUUCAUCAACAGAGGAAGUUGUACAAGUUGGUGUUGAAGUGAGACAAGUGUGGAUGGUCCCACCAACAAGUGAUGGGAUUCCUACUAUGAAGCUAGUCCAUUUUCUUAAACCUAUGAAUGGGUUUUCGUGAGGCAGAGGGAGGGGGAAAAGAGAUUGGAUUGGAGGGAGAGAGCGGUAGGGGUUUUCUGGAGAGUGGAGAGACGCCAUUGAUGGAGAGCUUGAGGCUCUCUGUCUGUUUGUGUUUUUGUGUGUGUGAGAGGAAGAGUGAGUGCUGAAAGAGGAUUGGAUUACGGCUAAGAGGGAAAUGGAGGGUGGAGGCUGAAACAAAGGAGAGGAAUGGAGGGAGAGAGCCAUUGGGGUUUGCUAGAGAGACGCCAUUGAUGGAGAGUUUGAAGCUCUCUGUGUGUUUGUAUUUUUGUCCGUGAGAGGAAGAGUGAGUGCUGAAAGAGGAUUGGAUUAGACUGAAGCAAAGAAGAGGAAUGGAGGGUGGGGAUUAUCUUGAAAGUGGAAAGAUUGACCGGUCCGACUGGCACAGCCCGGGACCUGGAUGCCUGACCGGGCCAGGUCUCAAAACAUUGAUUUAACCAAUAUUUGUGUCCGAUCCUACUCAUCAUCAAGAUUUGAAGCUUUAAUUCUCUUAUUGUCUGGUUCUGAUAAAGAAAAAUAGAUUGCAAUGAGUUUAUCAUUCUUAUUGUCUGAUUCUAAUGUGAGAUUCUUAUCUGUUUAGGAUCAAUCUUGCUCUACUUUACAGCAGGCAUCAUGUAGCUUCACCAUAGAAAUUUUACCAUUAUCCUGCUCAGGAACUGAAAGCUGUUAAGGACUGAACCAGCAUAACCAACAGAGGUAUCAGACUCAUUUUGAUGACUCCAGGAUUAAGCCUGUCAUGACUAAUUUGAAGUGGCAGGAACAAAACAGAAAUGCAUUGAAAGACAAGUGCUCCAUCAGUUGCAGUUUUCUAUCCACUGGUGACUACUGUUCGGAAUUUAUUCAAAUUCAGCAACCAAUAGUGUGUUUUUUACCAGAGAGUGCGAUAAGCAGUGGCAGGUAUACUUAAGAUCAAAUUCAACAAGAUUGAGGAUAUUGACCCCACUGUGAUUGAUGGAUUAUGCCCACAAAUUCAAGAAAUUCAGGCUUGGCUCUGGCCAAAGGAGAGACUUGAUAUGGUUAAACAAGGUUCUUCCAUCGCUGAUUACUUCUUACCAUCCAAAUAUAGAUGGGGCAUUCCCAAGUGUUAUCUUUCUGUAGAAAGUUGUGUACUCUCUCAAAGUUAAGAAAUCUGGUGCUGCUUGAUUUUGUAUUUGAUUUUUCAUGUGACCGUUACAAGAGCCAGAAGAUGGUAGAGCCAAAUUGAGUUACAGUUGUAUCUGUAAGUAUCAUAAAUGUUCUUCAUUCUUUCUUAAACUGCAUAUUGCACUAAUAUGAGAGAGAAUGAUAGAAAACAUGUAUGAGAUGGUAAAAGAAUUUGAUGUUGUGGUUAGUGCAGCGAAAGGCUGUGGCUGCUGCAGUUUUUAUAA